UACGUAGGGGGCUAGCGUUGUCCGGAAUCAUUGGGCGUAAAGAGCGUGUAGGCGGCCCGGUAAGUCCGCUGUAAAAGUCAAAGGCUCAACCUUUGAAUGUCAGUGGAUACUGCCGGGCUAGAGUCCGGAAGAGGCGAGUGGAACUCCUGGUGUAGCGGUGGAAUGCGCAGAUAUCAGGAGGAACACCUAUAGCGAAGGCAGCUUGCUGGGACGUUACUGACGCUAAGGCGCGAAAGCGUGGGGAGCGAACAGG
rnacentral:rRNA from 1 species